UGUUAAACCAACUAACUUCACUCUGUGAGCGCAGGUCUCUUCUCAUUCUCCUGUCGAACAAUUUUCACUCCAAGAAGAAGCACCAACCCACGGACGUUCCCUGUUUUCAAGCUCCACCCGGCGAAGGAUCCGGGAAAAAGUCUUCGGAGAUGGGAGUUGAAUACGUCCCUGACUAGAAGCUCCACCAGAUGUUUCCAGCAGACCCUCACAUAUAGUGAGCAUAUAGCCUGGGCCUGCCAAGUCUGUCCAGCUUCCUCCUCUUCCAGCCACCAAGUAGUGAUCGGUGGACAGGUGUCGAUGUUGUUUCCCACGUGGGUGUUGAAGUCCCCCAGCAGAAUGACAGAGUCUCCGAGAGGGACACCACCCAGCACCCCCAACAGGGACACCAAGAAGGCUAGGUACUCCUCACCCCUGCCUGGCCCAUAGGCCAAAACAACAGCCAGAACCAUCUCCCCAACCCAAAGAUCCAAUUUAGUUUCAUCAAAAUAAAAAGUUAUAUAUUUUGUGUGAUCUGCAUGUAAAACAUUAUUAAACAUUCUACAACUACAAGUAAGCUGGUUGCAUGUUAGUCAGGUACAGAUUAAUUUGUUCGUUUGAGUUGUGAUAUUUGUAAUUCCAAUCGUUAAUUGUAUCGGUCAGAUAUAAUUUUUUUUCCAGUAAAAAGUAAUGAAAGAUUUUUAUUGUUACCAGCUCUGAAUAGAAGGUAAACCUGUUACAGAUUGAUUCUCAGCAGCAUCCAGCUCAGACCCAUAUGAUGUCUCAGUGAAAAUAUGAUUUCUUCGUAGCUUAUUUGCAUUAUUGUGUGCCAUGAACUGUACAACCCGAGCUGCUAUUUGCAUGUGAGUUUUUUUGCGUUUUCUUUGGUAACUUCCCGACUUUAAAAGCUGAGAUGACUGCAAGAAGAGGAAAAAGAUAAAAAAAGACACAUGUUCACUUUUAAAGGUGAUACUAUAUGGUUUAUUAGUUCAUGAAUGCAUAUUUAGCUGAAACCAGAAAUUUACAUACCAUAUAAUAAAAAACAUUUUAUUCUCACUGCCUGCUAUUAAAUCAGGCUAAACCUUUCCUGCCUUAUGCCAGUUGGGAAUAUGACAGUUAUUUCUAUUUGCUAAAUUCCAGAAUAAUGACAGAAUGUAUUUUUUUACAGAUUGUUUUCUUCAAAUUCAUAAGUUUUAAUUUAGUUUACUGAAAUUAUGGCCCAUUCCUGUUGUUAGAACUGCUGGAACUGGAUCAACUUUUUAGUUCACCUUGCUCAUGCCUUUUCCGCUCUGCUCACAAAUGUUCUCUGAGAUCGGGGCUUUGUGAUGGCCACUUUAAUAUAGUGACCUUGUUGUUUUUAAUCCUCCUAUUAUCUUUAGGGUCA